rnacentral:rRNA from 1 species
AUUGAACGCUGGCGGCAGGCCUAACACAUGCAAGUCGAACGAGUGGCGGACGGGUGAGUAAUGUAUGGGAAACUGCCCGAUGGGGGGGGAUAACUACUGGAAACGGUAGCUAAUACCGCAUACCAUCGGAUGUGCCCAGAUGGGAUUCGCUAUUAGGUGGGGUAAAGGCUCACCUAGGCGACGAUCCCUAGCUGGUCUGAGAGGAUGACCAGCCACACGGGAACUGAGACACGGUCCAGACUCCUACGUGAGGCAGCAGUUGGGAAUAGUGCACAAUGGGCGCAAGCCUGAUGCAGCCAUGCCGCGUGUAUGAAGAAGGCCUUCGUGUUGUAAAGUACUUUCAGCGGGGAGGCGUUACCCGCAGAAGAAGCACCGGCUAACUCCGUGCCAGCAGCCGCGGUAAUUC